rnacentral:lncRNA from 1 species
ACACUUUGAGCCCUUGAAGACACACUCACCGUCUAAAACGUAAUUAAAAGAUGUAAUUAACAAUAAACCAAGUUGCAAAGGGAAAUAAGAAAACUCCCUUUGUUGUUCCUCCUUUUGGUUAGUGCACUUCUUUGUUGUCUUGAUUGUUGAUCUCCUAAAUGUUUGUAGUGUUUGUUUCAAGGAAGUUUGUUUCGGCUUUGGCUUUGUCUCCUCCUUAGAAUGUUGGCUUUAAUUC